rnacentral:rRNA from 1 species
AGCGAGAAAGAACUAACAAGGAUUCCCCUAGUAACUGCGAGUGAAGCGGGAAAAGCUCAAAUUUAAAAUCUGUCAGUCUUUGGCUGUCCGAGUUGUAAUCUAGAGAAGUGUUAUCCGCGCUGGACCGUGUACAAGUCUCCUGGAAUGGAGCGUCAUAGAGGGUGAGAAUCCCGUCUUUGACACGGACUGCCAGGGCUCUGUGAUACGCUCUCAAAGAGUCGAGUUGUUUGGGAAUGCAGCUCAAAAUGGGUGGUAAAUUCCAUCUAAAGCUAAAUAUUGGCGAGAGACCGAUAGCGAACAAGUACCGUGAGGGAAAGAUGAAAAGAACUUUGGAAAGAGAGUUAAACAGUACGUGAAAUUGCUGAAAGGGAAACGCUUGAAGUCAGUCGCGUUGUCCAGGGAUCAACCUUGCUUUUGCUUGGUGUACUUUCUGGUUGACGGGUCAGCAUCAAUCUUGACUGUUGGAAAAAGGUCAUGGGAAUGUGGCAUCUUCGGAUGUGUUAUAGCCCUUGGUUGCAUACAAUGGUUGGGAUUGAGGAACUCAGCACGCCGCAAGGCCGGGUAUCUAAUACCACGUACGUGCUUAGGAUGCUGGCAUAAUGGCUUUAAUCGACCCGUCUUGAAACACGGACCAAGGAGUCUAACAUACCUGCGAGUGUUUGGGUGGAAAACUCGAGCGCGUAAUGAAAGUGAAAGUUGAGAUCCCUGUCGUGGGGAGCAUCGACGCCCGGACCAGACCUUUUGUGACGGUUCCGCGGUAGAGCAUGUAUGUUGGGACCCGAAAGAUGGUGAACUAUGCCUGAAUAGGGUGAAGCCAGAGGAAACUCUGGUGGAGGCUCGUAGCGAUUCUGACGUGCAAAUCGAUCGUCAAAUUUGGGUAUAGGGGCGAAAGACUAAUCGAACCAUCUAGUAGCUGGUCC